UAUAUGUCAGUAGGGGGCAGUAACAUGCAUAAAUCAGUCAACAUUGCAUAAGCAAGUUUGGAGAACAGUUAGAAGCAUCAAGACCAAGAGGGAACUAAACAAGAGAAGAAAAGAGAUGACUCGGCAGUGAUGACUUUGAAAGUCUCAACUUUCAAAUGAAGUUUCAUUCUGUAAAAGGCAAGAAGGCUGCACACUAGUGAGACGACGAAAUGAGAGCCGGCCAGAGGAUCCUGGACCAAGUUUAGCCUGAGGCAGCCAGAGAAUGACUCAACAGCAGGUUUUUGACGCAGAGUAAAUCAACAGAGGAGAAAGACUGUGCACUAUGCUUCACAAGAGCAGACUGAGGACAAAUGCCACGGUGGGUGAUUAAAUCCAGGCCCUACGCUUGGACGCUUCUGGGGCAGAUUUUCCGAGAGCAAGGGACUUGGCGCCAGGGAUCCUGUGUAUUUUCCACCCUGAUCUCUGCUUGGCAGAGGCCUAAAUAAUAAAGCUCUUUUUACUGAGCUGCCCGGGGUUCCCUGUGUACAAACACAAGCCCUGUCUCCCCACUCGCCUUUGCUGUUUUAACACGACCCGCCGCCAUGGGGGUUUACCUCACACCCCACUAAGCUCCUGUCCUGCAGUUGUCUGAGAGUCAGCCCCCACUCUGCCACAGACUCUCUCUCUCUCUCUCCCUCUCUCUCUCUCUCUCUCUCUCUCUCUCUCUUGCUCUCUCACACACACACACACACAUACUGGGGUCAAGCCAAUUUGGUCUUGAGGUAAUUUUACUGGGACCAGUGCACAAUGAUAGGCUUGAUCAGUGAACAAACAACAACUGACAAACAUCUAAACAAAAUCUUAGGAAAAUAAGUCAUGGAAAAAUCUCUAGAGCUUUGGGAAAACACAAAUUAUCAGAAAUGAAAAUAGUGAAGGUCAUUUAGGGAGUUCUUACUGCAGCACACAACUACCAUAUAUAUAUAUAUAUAUAUACCAUAUAUAUACCUAUACUUCUCUGCAAGUCAUUAUUCCACAUGUGUUUCUGUGUUUUUAAAUUGCAUCAUGGAGUGCAGCAGGGUGUAAGUCCAGUACGAUCACGGAAAUGUAGCAAGCGGUGAUGAAACGUCCAUUCAUGCAACCAUGCAUGGAUGUGUGUUUAUUUAACUACUGUGCAGGUUAAUCUGGGUCCUCAAAGCCUGGUGCUGUGUGUUGGUGCCAAGGCUCACAAACCUUCUGCGCUCUGAUCAGCCUGCCAAAUGUGAAACCUGAGGCCGCCAGAGAAACCUCCUCCGAAAGCGACAGCCCAGGCCCCUUCAUGCUCCCACAAGAAAAAUAUAAAGGUUUUGGUGAAACACUGCCUACACUGACGGCCCAUCACUGGGACCUGCUCCCCGUGUAGAUAUAAAGGGCUCGUUCUAAGGUAACGUUAGCACAACAAUUCUUAUUCUCAGGUGAUUAUACACUAAUUAAAACAUAUUUUCGAAUGUUUUAUUCAAUUUGUGCUAAGUCUGUUCCACUAGAUGCCACUAAUUUCUACACACUGGCCUGCUGCGUCUGUAAACUACACCAUGAGAGCUGUGAGAGUGAACCAAAACAGUAAAGUUGCAGACAGCUAAACAAUGAGCUGAAACUCGCUAUGAA